rnacentral:tRNA from 1 species
CAGAGUGUAGUUAAAUAGUACAACCCCUCCCUUACACUGAGAAGACGCUCGUGCAAGUCGAGCCACCCUGA